UACGUAGGUGGCAAGCGUUGUCCGGAUUUACUGGGCGUAAAGCGCCCGCAGGCGGCUUGUUAAGUUCAAGGUGAAAUCUCCCGGCUUAACUGGGAGGGUGCCUCGAAAACUGGCAGGCUUGAGGUGAGGAGAGGGAUGCGGAAUUCCAGGUGUAGCGGUGAAAUGCGUAGGUAUCUGGAGGAACACCAGUGGCGAAGGCGGCAUCCUGGCCUUAUCCUGACGCUCAGGGGCGAAAGCGUGGGGAGCAAACCGG
rnacentral:rRNA from 1 species